rnacentral:rRNA from 1 species
GAUGAACGCUGGCGGCGUGCUUAACACAUGCAAGUCGAACGGUGAAGGCGGAGCUUGCUCUGCUGGAUCAGUGGCGAACGGGUGAGUAACACGUGAGCAAUCUGCCCCUGACUCUGGGAUAAGCGCUGGAAACGGCGUCUAAUACUGGAUACGAGCUGCGAAGGCAUCUUCAGCAGCUGGAAAGAAUUUCGGUCAGGGAUGAGCUCGCGGCCUAUCAGCUUGUUGGUGAGGUAAUGGCUCACCAAGGCGUCGACGGGUAGCCGGUCUGAGAGGGUGACCGGCCACACUGGGACUGAGACACGGCCCAGACUCCUACGGGAGGCAGCAGUGGGGAAUAUUGCACAAUGGGCGAAAGCCUGAUGCAGCAACGCCGCGUGAGGGACGACGGCCUUCGGGUUGUAAACCUCUUUUAGCAGGGAAGAAGCGAAAGUGACGGUACCUGCAGAAAAAGCGCCGGCUAACUACGUG